CCCUUAGAUGUUCUGGGCCGCACGCGUGCUACACUGAGUGGAUCAGCGGGUCAGGUUGCGCGAAAGUGUUUCCUAAUCUUGAAAUCCGCUCGUGAUGGGGAUUGACGGUUGCAAUUUUCCGUCAUGAACGAGGAAUACCUUGUAAGCGCGGGUCAUCAUCCCGCGCUGAAUACGUCCCUGCCCUUUGUACACACCGCCCGUCGCUACUACCGAUUGAAUGGCUCAGUGAGGCCUUCGGACUGGCUCGGGGAGGUUGGCAACGACCACCCCAAGCCGGAAAGUUCGUCAAACUCGGUCAUUUAGAGGAAGUAAAAGUCGUAACA
rnacentral:rRNA from 1 species